CCUACGGGAGGCAGCAGUGAGGAAUAUUGGACAAUGGGCGCAAGCCUGAUCCAGCCAUGCCGCGUGCAGGAAGACGGUCCUAUGGAUUGUAAACUGCUUUUGUACAGGAAGAAACACUCCCUCGUGAGGGAGCUUGACGGUACUGUAAGAAUAAGGAUCGGCUAACUCCGUGCCAGCAGCCGCGGUAAUACGGAGGAUCCAAGCGUUAUCCGGAAUCAUUGGGUUUAAAGGGUCCGUAGGCGGUUUAAUAAGUCAGUGGUGAAAUCUGGUCGCUCAACGAUCAAACGGCCAUUGAUACUGUUAGACUUGAAUUAUUAGGAAGUAACUAGAAUAUGUAGUGUAGCGGUGAAAUGCUUAGAUAUUACAUGGAAUACCAAUUGCGAAGGCAGGUUACUACUAAUGGAUUGACGCUGAUGGACGAAAGCGUAGGGGAGCGAACAGGAUUAGAUACCCUGGUAGUCCACGCCGUAAACGAUGGAUACUAGCUGUUCGGAGCAAUCUGAGUGGCUAAGCGAAAGUGAUAAGUAUCCACCUGGGGAGUACGUUCGCAAGAUUGAAACUUCAAAUGAAUUGACGG
rnacentral:rRNA from 1 species